CCUCUCCAGGGGAACAUUCCCAGCUCUCCUGGAGCCCCUUCAGGCCCUGCAGGGGCUCUGAGCUCUGUGCUCAGAGCAGAGGUGCCCCAUCCCUCUGACCACCUUGGAAGAGGUUGAAACCAGACAGCUUUCAGUUCCCUUCCCACGCAGACCAUUCCCUGAUUCCACAUUGAUUUUCCCUGUAACAAUCCAUGAAUUUCCACAUAAUAAUCAUUGGGAGAGUCUCUCCGUGGGGAGCUGAGGACGCUUCACCGGGCAGAAAACACAAAGCAGCGGGAGGGGCUCAGGUCCCAGCAUUGCCUGGAGGGCUGGGGGAGGCUUUGGGAGCGUUCCCGGUGUGGCUGAGGCCGUUCCCGGUGUCCCCGCAGGAGUGAGGAGCCCUUGCCCUGCACCGAAGCCACGUUGAACGGCCCCGCUUGAUGGCAGCGCCCCGGGACGUGUGUGAGAGCCAGGCCAGGCUGCUCCCUGGUGAUGCAAUUUGUCAAUUCUUUUUUUUUUUUUUUUUUUUUUUUUUUUUUUUUUUUUUUUUCUUCUUUUUAAUUUUAUUUUUUAAUAAAUGCUGCAUUGAUGAGAGCGAGCUGGCGUUCAGGACCAGACACGCAGAUCCAACAGCACCGAUCCGUUCGGAAAGACACUCGGCAUUGUCGAAAUGUAGCAUUGAGUUCAGUCCUCACGGGAAUGACGGGCUCUUCCCAAGCCUUCUGCCUGAUUUCAGUUGUCCCCUUCCCCGUGCCCCUGGUUUUUGUUUUGGAUUUGGGGUUCAGUGCUGUUUUCCCAGUGUUAUUGCACACAGUAUUCAGCUUCUCUUGGGAAGGUAGCAGGUCCAGCGGCGGCCGGGGCCAGCGCACAAAUCCCGCAGCCGUGUGACCAAAGUUCCUGAUGGAGCUGUCCUCGGGCAGCCUUUGCACCGCUUUGUAGAGCAAUAAAGCCUUACCAGAAACAUUUCACAGCAGAGGAGGAAUGCCAACACUUCCACGGGAGGGAGCAGGGAGGGCUUGCAUUCGGGCAGGGCCGAGGCCGGGCUCGUCCCCAGCCAGAGCCCGGCUGUCCCGGGGUGUCCCCAGCCAGAGCCCGGCUGUCCCGGGGUGUCCCCAGCCGGAGCCCGGCUGUCCCGGGGUGUCCCCAGCCAGAGCCCGGCUGUCCCGGGGUGUCCCCGGCCGGAGCCCGGCUGUCCCGGGGUGUCCCCGGGUCCCAGCACUGCUCUGGCCUCCCCUGGGCUCUGCUGGAUCGGGGCAGGAGCUGGGCUGGGCCUGCCCAGUGUCCGUGUUGGCCCACGAGGAGGUGACCAGGGCUUUGCUGGCUCUUUGGAAACUGAAUUAAUGUAUUUGCAAAUGAUGAUGGAAAUCCUUUUUUCUGUUUGUUUUGUUCUGUUUUUUAAAGUUUUUAAUGGAUGCAGGAACAGCAACACUUUUGCACUUUGUACCUGGCGAUGGCAGCGUCGGAGGGGACACGGCUGCCCGGGGAGGGGACACCCAGGUCCCUCGGGGCCGUGGGAGAGCGGGGCCAGGAUUGGUGCUAGAGUUCUGCUGGACAUCGGCUUCCCUUGGGGCGUUCUCGGGGCUGGUUCCAUGGAAGCUGAAGGAUCCAUGUGCUGGUACAGCCUGGCUGGGUCCUGGGGGAUGCUUUUCCAGCCUGUUCCCGGUGCCGUGUGGGAUCGGCUGGAGCGUUCCUGUGGCUGGGAUCCCUUGCCGAGGGUCUCCAGGGGAUGGGGCUGUCCGUGCCUUCCGCUGCAAUUCCAGCCUGGCAUUCCUCAGCUUCGGCUCCCUGAGUGUCAGUGAGAGCUUUAACAAUAACCAUUCUAUUAAUAAUAAUGAUUCUAAUAAUAAUAAUAAUAAUAUCCUUGGCCAUGUC